ensembl:snRNA U6 U6 spliceosomal RNA
GUGCUUGCUUCAGUAGCACAUAUACUAAAACUGUGAACAAUACAGAGAAGAUUAGCAUGGGUCCUACACAAAGAUGACAUGUAAAUUCGUGAAGGUUCCUUUUUUGAU